rnacentral:rRNA from 1 species
UUUGAUCCUGGCUCAGAGCGAACGCUGGCGGCAGGCUUAACACAUGCAAGUCGAGCGGGCCCUUCGGGGUCAGCGGCAGACGGGUGAGUAACGCGUGGGAACGUGCCCUUCGGUUCGGAAUAACCCUGGGAAACUAGGGCUAAUACCGGAUACGCCCCUUGGGGGAAAGGUUUACUGCCGAAGGAUCGGCCCGCGUCUGAUUAGCUAGUUGGUGAGGUAACGGCUCACCAAGGCAACGAUCAGUAGCUGGUCUGAGAGGAUGAUCAGCCACACUGGGACUGAGACACGGCCCAGACUCCUACGGGAGGCAGCAGAAGGG